GCUGUUGUAGUUUAGAAAAACAUUGGUCUUGUAAACCAAAGAACGGGAGCUUUAGCUCCCCCUCAGCAA
rnacentral:tRNA from 1 species